rnacentral:lncRNA from 1 species
GGAAAAACUCUUUGGUAAUUGAGCAGAAGGUGGAUUGUAAUGGAGAAAAACCCAAGACUAAUUAGAAACCAAUUUGAAAGUCCAGUAGAAGGUCAUUUCUAUAAUCCUGGUCACUUCCUGUCAGAGGGACUUUGGCAAUGGAACUUGGCUUGGAGGGCUGGAGUGUGGGACCUCAGACUGCUUUCCCUGAGACAACCACAUAAUGAGAAUACUGAGGCUCAGAUGAUUUAAUUGACUUGACUCUCCUCCUAUCAGUCCUGCUGAUUCUAAGUCCAGCACUCAUCUUCUAUCUUCUAAUCUUUUUUAGUAAAUCAUUUCAGGUGAAUAUUAUAUUAUUUAAAAGUGGCAUUUAAAGUUUCUUUGAAAGUUGUUUGCUUACUUUCAUCUUUCAGGCAUCAGAACAUUUAAAUUUCUUAUUUAUUUAAAAACCCAGUUUUGGGCACAACAUAAUAGGCUAAC